rnacentral:rRNA from 1 species
AUUGAACGCUGGCGGCAGGCCUAACACAUGCAAGUCGAGCGAGCUGCGGACGGGUGAGUAAUGUCUGGGGAACUGCCCGAUCGAGGGGGACAACUACUGGAAACGGUGGCUAAUACCGCCUACUAUCGGAUGAGCCCAGAUGGGAAUGGUUAGUAGGUGGGGUAAAGGCUGACCUCGGCGACGAUCUCUUGCUGGUCUGAGAGGAUGAUCAGCCACACUGUCACUGACACACGGUCCAGACUCGUACGGGAGGAAGCGGUGGGGAAUAUUGCACAAUGGGCGCAAUCCUGAUGCAGCCAUGCCGCGUGUAUGAAGAAGGCCUUCGGGUUGUAUGGUACUAUCAGCAGGGAGGCGUUACCCGCAGAAGAAGCACCGGCUAACUCCGUUCCAGCAGCCGCGGUAAUUC